AUUGAACGCUGGCGGCAUGCUUUACACAUGCAAGUCGGACGGCAGCACAGAGAAGCUUGCUUCUUGGGUGGCGAGUGGCGAACGGGUGAGUAAUAUAUCGGAACGUACCGAGUAAUGGGGGAUAACUAAUCGAAAGAUUAGCUAAUACCGCAUAUUCUCUGAGGAGGAAAGCAGGGGACCUUCGGGCCUUGCGUUAUUCGAGCGGCCGAUAUCUGAUUAGCUAGUUGGUGGGGUAAAGGCCUACCAAGGCGACGAUCAGUAGCGGGUCUGAGAGGAUGAUCCGCCACACUGGGACUGAGACACGGCCCAGACUCCUACGGGAGGCAGCAGUGGGGAAUUUUGGAGAAUGGGCGCAAGCCUGAUCCAGCCAUGCCGCGUGUCUGAAGAAGGCCUUCGGGUUGUAAAGGACUUUUGUCAGGGAAGAAAAGGCUGUUGCUAAUACCGACAGCUGAUGACGGUACCUGAAGAAUAAGCACCGGCUAACUACGUG
rnacentral:rRNA from 1 species